GAAAUGCAGCGAUGAUAGUGACUGUCCUGGCCAAUGCUGCCUAGAACGUUAUUGGAUAGGAAAGAAGUGCCAUGAUUAUAUCUCGGAAGGAAGUCGAUGCUAUCAUAGUUCUCUCGGCUGUGGAUGCGAGCCAGGAACCUCUUGCCAAUACGUAUCAGGUGGCGGAGUUUUGGGUCUCCCUUCUUACAGAUGUGUUUCUGAUGGAGGCGAAGGAUCUGGGUCGUUGUAAAACAAACGUCAUUGCAUAAACAUGUAAAGUUUGUGAAGAAUAAUUAGCUAAUAAUUAAACGUAAAGAAAAACAA